UCAAGCUACAAAGGGCGCAUGGUGAAUGCCUUGGCAUCAGGAGCCGAUGAAGGACGUGAUAAGCUGCGAUAAGCUUCGGGUAGGCGCACAUAGCCAGUGAUCCGGAGAUUUCCGAAUGUGGGAACACACAUGGGAAACCCCAUGUAUCGUAUAGUGAAUACAUAGCUAUACGAGGGUAAACCUAGGGAACUGAAACAUCUAAGUACCUAGAGGAAGAGAAAGAAAAAUCGAUUUCCUAAGUAGCGGCGAGCGAAAGGGAAAGAGCCCAAACCAAAGAUUUAUCUUUGGGGUUGCGGACAGAACAUUAACGAGAAGUCGUGAUUAACCGAACACAACUGGAAAGUUGGACCGUAGGAGGUAAUAGUCCUGUAGGUGAAAGUCAAGAUAAUCAAGUUCUGAUCCAGAGUACCACGAGACACGUGAAACCUUGUGGGAAGCAGGGAGGACCACCUCCCAAGGCUAAAUACUACCUGAUGACCGAUAGUGAAGCAGUACCGUGAGGGAAAGGUGAAAAGAACCCCGGGAGGGGAGUGAAAUAGAACCUGAAACCGUGUGCCUACAACCGGUCAAAGCCCCUUAUGAGGGUGAUGACGUGCUUUUUGUAGAACGAGCCAACGAGUUACGGUAUGUAGCAAGGUUAAGUACUUAAGGUACGGAGCCGAAGGGAAACCGAGUCUUAAUAGGGCGACUAGUUGCAUGCCGUAGACCCGAAACCGGGUGACCUAUCCAUGGCCAGGUUGAAGCGAGGGUAAAACUUCGUGGAGGACCGAACCACGUUGCUGUUGAAAAAGCAUGGGAUGAGCUGUGGAUAGCGGAGAAAUUCCAAUCGAACUCGGAGAUAGCUGGUUCUCCCCGAAAUAGCUUUAGGGCUAGCGUCGGAUAUGUGUAGUGGAGGUAGAGCACUGAAUGGGCUAGGGGGCAUAUCGCUUACCGAACCUUAUCAAACUCCGAAUGCCAUAUACAUUAAGUCCGGCAGUCAGACUACGAAUGAUAAGAUCCGUGGUCAAAAGGGAAACAGCCCAGACCGUCAGCUAAGGUCCCAAAGUGUAAGUUAAGUGGAAAAGGAUGUGGGAUUUCUAAGACAACUAGGAUGUUGGCUUAGAAGCAGCCACUCAUUUAAAGAGUGCGUAAUAGCUCACUAGUCGAGAGAUCCUGCGCCGAAAAUGUACCGGGGCUAAACUUACCACCGAAGCUACGGAUUUGCAAGUAAUUGCAAGUGGUAGGGGAGCGUCGUAAUCGGGCUGAAGUCGUACCGGAAGGAGCGGUGGACUGAUUACGAGUGAGAAUGUUGGCAUUAGUAGCGAGAUGUAGGUGAGAAUCCUACAGGCCGAAUAUCUAAGGUUUCCUCAGGAAGGCUCGUCCGCUGAGGGUUAGUCGGGACCUAAGCCGAGGCCGAAAGGCGUAGGCGAUGGACAAUCGGUUGAUAUUCCGAUACCACUACCAUCGUUAUUAUCGAGGGUGUGACGGAGAAGGAUAGUGUGUGCUAGCGAUUGGAAAUGCUAGUCUAAGCGUUUAGGGAGUUACAGUAGGCAAAUCCGCUGUAACAAUUCUGAGGCGUGAUGGGGAAGGUCAUUAAGACCGAAGUACAUGAUUCCAUGCUUCCAAGAAAAGCAUCUAGAGAGAGAAGUAGUGCCCGUACCGCAAACCGACACAGGUAGAUGAGGAGAGAAUCCUAAGGCCGGCGGAAGAAUUGCAGUUAAGGAACUAGGCAAAUUGACCCCGUAAGUUCGCGAGAAGGGGUGCCUGCGAGAGCAGGCCGCAGAGAAUAGGCCCAAGCAACUGUUUAGCAAAAACACAGGUCUCUGCUAAAGCGUAAGCUGAUGUAUAGGGGCUGACGCCUGCCCGGUGCUGGAAGGUUAAGGGGAACACUUAGCGCAAGCGAAGGUGUGAACUUAAGCCCCAGUAAACGGCGGCCGUAACUAUAACGGUCCUAAGGUAGCGAAAUUCCUUGUCAGGUAAGUUCUGACCCGCACGAAUGGCGUAAUGACUUGGGCACUGUCUCAACUGCAAAUCCGGCGAAGUUGUAGUGCGAGUGAAGAUGCUCGCUACCCGCGAUUGGACGGAAAGACCCCGUAGAGCUUUACUGUAGCUUAGCAUUGAAUUCCGGUAUUGUCUGUACAGGAUAGGUGGGAGACUGGGAAACUAGGGCGUCAGCCUUAGUGGAGUCAACCUUGGGAUACCACCCUGACAGUACUGGGGUUCUAACAGGACGCCAUGAAUCUGGUGACUGGACAUUGUUAGGUGGGCAGUUUGACUGGGGCG
rnacentral:rRNA from 1 species